UACGUAGGGAGCGAGCGUUAUCCGGAUUUACUGGGUGUAAAGGGCGUGUAGGCGGGAUGGCAAGUCAGGCGUGAAAACUAUGGGCUCAACCCAUAGCCUGCGUUUGAAACUGUCGUUCUUGAGUGAUGGAGAGGCAAGCGGAAUUCCGUGUGUAGCGGUGAAAUGCGUAGAUAUACGGAGGAACACCAGUGGCGAAGGCGGCUUGCUGGACGGUGACUGACGCUGAGGCUCGAAAGCGUGGGGAGCAAACAGG
rnacentral:rRNA from 1 species